GGCGGGGAGGCGCCGGGGGGCCCGGGGGGGCCGCGGGGCCCCGAGCCUUGACACACGUACCAUUCGCUCAGGAGGCAAUGGGCGAGCACAGCCAUUAGCGGCGGCGGCGGGACCGGGAGCAGCGCAUCCCUCACCCCCACAGCCCACAGCCUCCCCGGACCCCUCUCUCCGGCCCUGCCACGGCUCCUGUCCCCGCGGAAUCUCCUCUCACUAGCUCUGCCCUUCCGCGGGGCCCCGCCGAGCAUUCCCCGGAGCCGCCACUCCGUGCCCACCCGGACGCGCGGCCGGCUCCGCAGGCGGAGCGCCCUGCCCGGCCAGCUUCUCCUUCUCUUUCCCCUGGCCUGUGUGUGUGUGCCAUCGUAGGGCUCUGUGCAAAAGACAAAGCUCCGAAACAAGGAAAACUUAGAGGAGAACUGCUCGUUCCGAGCAACUUAUGCUGUCCCCGCAUUCUCGGAAGUCCUGCAAAAAGAGCGGUCAGUGAUUUAUCCCUUCGAAAGUUUUUACGUUAAAUACAUUUCUCACAGUCCCCCAGGCACGUGGAAAUAUUUUUCAUAACCUGGCUAGAUCAUAUUUCAUCCACUUCAUAUUUGCACUGGUUACAAUGCCAUGGAACAUCCACAUCCCCUUCCUCUCCCCGCUCCCCAGCUUGCUGAUACCGUGUCCUAAAGUAUGAAAUAUUUCAAAAGAAAUAUAGAUUGUGGGGUAAAAAACGAUAAAGAUUCUGCAGAAAGAUGACUAGGCCAGAGCACGGCGUUGUCGCGAGUGUAGGAUUCCCUCUUCGUUUCAACCUACACAGUCACUGAAGGAAUUGCAAUCGGGAUUAAAUUGUCUGAUCAUAUAAUAAGUGAUGUUACGCAUAACACAAUCGUGUGGCUGGAGUCAUGUGAAAGUUUAACCUCAAAUCGUGUGGACCCGGCUUGGUAGACGAUAUACAGGAGGUUUUCAAGGAAACACGCCACAGCCAAAUGCAGAUGAAACGCUGGCAGCAUUAUUGUCGCUGACAAUAGCAAACUGCAAAACCCUGCUUGCCAAGGGGUACCCAGGUCCUGUACCAACCGACUAUGAAAAUAUCCUCCUCAUCCGUCAAAAGUCAAAAAAUAGAAGGGCGGAGAGGACUCCCCAAAAAUACAUGGCCUAACAUUAACGUGAAGUGCAAACAAAGCAACUGUGUUCACCAUCAUGGCGUAUGUAACCGAAAAGACUUCCAAUAUUUGGUUUUGUGUGUUUGUUUUGGUUCGGUUUUUAAAUUCCUUGGGUUGUGCGUUUGUGGUUGUAGUUUUUUUUUCCCCUCUCAAUUCGUCAUGAUUAAAUUUAGGAGAGAUUCAGCCUACAUCGGGCUCGGUUGCGAGCAGAGGCAAAUAAAGGAAGGCAUUCCAAAUAUUUCACAUGAAUGCACUUUAUGCAAGGUGGGUGGGAAAGGCUCAUGGCUCCGCGUUUAAAGUAUGCCCUUUCCUCACUGUAAUAAUCAAUGAGGAGCACUGACAUCCUGCACCGUUAACAUUUGCACAGAGGAUGGGUAAAUACCUGACGUUGGAGGGAAGGGAGGGAAGAGGUUAAAGAUAAGGUCUCUCACAAAACGAUGCGGAUUCUGUAACCAAAUACUGUCGACAUACAGCGGUGCAUAUGUAUAGACACACGCCCGCCUAUAAUCUAAUUAGAGUUUCACGUAAGGAAAUAAUUUGACCUUCAGCAUCUAAGUUGAGACAACAAAUCAAGGAUAUUAGUGUAGUACAAGCAAGCAGUAAGUUAGGAGACCCCAGGGAAAGCCAUCCUCAUAAGCACUCCGCUUGUGCAAAGUGAGUUCCAUUCAGGUAAAAGCGGGCUGCGCCGCACUGCGCUUUGCCGAGUUGAAAAAUGUUCAACUUCGCUUAACCCCCGGGAAGAGCCACUGAAAGGUCCGUCCGUGCAGCCGGGCUUCAAGUGGGAAGAGGGCAGCAUUUUCUCAGCUGCCCGGGUUGCAUUCCCUGAACGCCUCAGUAAAGAGGAGCCAUCCGAGCCGUUUGCAAGUAUUCCUUUCGCGAGAGCAGGUUUCCUCACGCGGAAAUCCCUGCCCGGCGGGGAGAGGACACUGCACAGGUCCCGGCUGCCGCAGCCCGGGCACGGAGCCGCGGCCACGCACAAAGUUCCGCGGCCGAUGGAGACUCAACCGCCAUUUUACCCGCACACUUGUAGCUGGGCAAAAGUGUUCAGUGAAAUUCAGCUUGGAAUUUGUGGCAUAAUCCCCCGUCUCCGGGAGUGGAUUAAGGGAAGGCGGUGAAGUGAUCCCAGCCCGUCCUGCUCGUCCCGUUGCCGCCGCCUUGACGGCCUUAUCCUCCAACCUGAAAAACUCGAACAUCGCCAGAUAUCCCCCUGCCUGCUCCCCAGCCUCGGAGAAAUCAGAAGUCAUUAAUAUUUAAGGAGGCGAUAAUUUUCCUGUUGAAUCUAGAACUGUCUUCAUGAAUAAUUCGUAGUGAGUUCUAUUAGGGUUUCAGAAACAUUGCAUUUUUGACAACUUCUGGGUGUUUAAUAGAAACGGUGGAACCAUAAAGGCCCUGCAGGAGUUUGCACAAUACAGCAAUUAAUCACCGAGAAAGUUAAAGCCAAAAGUACAGACGCGCCGAAUGGUGUUUAACAAACGCAAAUCUCCGCUCUCGGGUUUGCCCUGAACCUGCAUCUCCGAUGUAGGUCAGUUUUCCCAAGAAUUUAACCAUUUUCUGCUUCAGAGACUUCAAACAGUGAGGCCGUUAAAGAGCAGUAAAAGUUUGUUUACUUAAGAAAAACACUGUCAUUAAGAGAUGAGCUCUCCCGGUUAAUGGCUGUACCUGUGCUGAUCCAACAAGGAGCUGGCUGGGAUACAAGUUGCGUGACCCGGGGAUACCCCUUUUUCGAGGAAAAAGGGGGCCAAGAAGGCAGCCGAGGAACACAACUAUGCUGUCGUCCACCUCCUCCCCCCCACCCCCCCG